rnacentral:rRNA from 1 species
UACAGAGGGUGCGAGCGUUAAUCGGAAUUACUGGGCGUAAAGCGUGCGUAGACGGUUAUUUAAGUCGGAUGUGAAAGCCCCGGGCUCAACCUGGGCAUUGCAUUCGAGACUGCGUAGCUAGGGUGCGGAAGAGGGAAGCGGAAUUUCCGGUGUAGCGGUGAAAUGCGUAGAUAUCGUAAGGAAGACCAGUGGCGAAGGCGGGUCUCUGGACAGUUCCUGACGCUGA